rnacentral:lncRNA from 1 species
CACCCCGGCGGGAGAUUUUGGUGAUGAGAUCGUCAACGUGGGCAGGGAAGACGUGGAUAAUGCCUUCGAAGAAUUGGUCAUGGUUAAGCGACCGGUCAAACUCCAAAGGGAAGCCGUCGCUCACCGUGGUGUAACGUAUGUCAAGGUUCUCGGAGCUGCGAGCUUCGGAGAAGAUAUCUCCGGCGUCACCUUGGCGAGCGGUGGAGAUCUGGUGGUGGAUGGAGUCAGUGUUGACGAAAGUGAUGGUGAAGCCAUGUGAAGCUAGUUUGAUGGCUAAGUGGACAAAAGGGAUGACAUGGCCUUGAAGUGGGUAUGGUAUCAUCAUGGCAUGAGGCUUUCUCGACUUUGCUCUUUCCAUUGAUCUUCGAUAUUUGGAACGAUUUAUUCUCUUGGUAUUUUGAGUGGCAUAGAUGUGCAGACUGGAUAUUUAUACAUGGUUUAGUAAGUUUCUAAUAGAUCUUUUCAUUAUUAUUUUUCCACACCAUUCGUAGAAAACUUGAGAGGAUAUUCUUUUGAAGAAAAGUAAACAGUUUACCAAUUAAACAAUUCCUUUUAAGCUUAACAUAUCUCCUUUCAAGUUAUAUACUCUGGACUGCUCUGGAUCGACAACAAACAAUAUAUAGACCACACGACUAAUACUAUAUCAUGUUAUGCUAUAUAAGUUUCCAAUUUAAAACCAAUUAACAAUUAACAGAUGAACGGACUGAUUUGUUUAUCGUUUAUUCUAGGUCUUAUCUCAAUUCCAACAUAGAAUCCCUAACACUUACUAAUCAUACAGGUUCUACUGUGAAUAUAUUAGAACUCGAAUAUGCAUGUACAUAAACAUAUAAUGAAUGAUAUUAUAUUGUUUUUUAUCUUGGAAAGUAUAUUGAAACAACAGAAGCCGUCGAAUUUGGUUUUGGGAAAAGAUGAGGACGAUGAAUUUUCAAAGGGCACGUAGAGACAGUCUGUUCGUGUACGAGGACGACAUGAUAAGAACGAGUGGACAAGUGUAACUAAAGCAGAUUUGUCAUUUUAUGACAAGUUGGCUUGCAUCAUUUGUGUAUCAUUGGCUUACAUCAAUUUUGUAAGUUUUGUAAUUAUAACUUUAGAUGAUUACUUAUGGCAACAUGGCACUUCAGUAAGUUGUUAUAAGCUACUAACCAUUUAGUACAAACCCUCAUAUCUAAUAUAUAUAAUAUCAGUUAAUCUACUAAUAAUAGCAAUCCCAAUUAAUUCCAAAGGUUUUGAGUCCACUUAUGUUGAAAGGUUGUGUCUUUUGAAAAAGAAGUGUAAAGGGUUGUGUCUUUUCUAAAAGUUCUAUGUUGGAAGGUUGUAUCUUUUCCAAUUAAUUUCUAAGGUUGUGAAUCCACUUAUGUUGAAAGGUUGUGUCUUUUGAAAAAGUAGUGUAAAGGGUUGUGUCUUUUCUAAAAGUUCUAUGUUGUAAGGUUGUGUCUUUUCCAAUUAAUUCCUAAGGUUGUGAACUUCAAUUAUGUUGAAAGGUUGUGUCUUUUGAAAAAUAUGUGUAGAGAGUUGUGUCUUUUCUAAAAGUUAUAUGUUGUAAGGUUGUGUCCUUCUAAAAAUAGUCUAAAAGUUGUGACUAUUCACUAGUAUCUUUUAAAAAGUGAGAAGUUGUGAGUAUUAGAAGAAUGCAACUAUUCAUAUUGAAGGGUUGUGACUAUUCAAAUAGGCUUUAAAAAAUCUAUAAAUAGUCUCUCCCAUGCAUUUUUCAAAUCAAAUUUUCACUAAUCUACUAAUAAUAAAAUGGUGAAAAAAAUAAUGUCAAAAUUGCAACUUUUCAUCUAAAUAAGGUGUCUUUUCAUCUCAAAGUGAGAUUAUUUUUCUACUAAUAAUAGCAAUCCCAAUUAAUUCCAAAGGUUGUGAGUCCACUUAUGUUGAAAGGUUGUGUCUUUUGAAAAAGAAGUGUAAAUAACAUUUUCUGGUGUCCUAAGAACAUAGUUGCACAAGCAAAACUACCUUUUCACAACAAUCACCAGAAUUUUGAAAGGGGGUUUGGGGUCGGCAAAGAGUAGCAUUGCCGCCAAAUUAAUGUAAACUGACAAACCCGGUUUAAUAACGGUUUAUAGAUUGGAUAAACCGAUAAAUGAGAAACCUAGAAUUUAUAUAGUUUACAGAGAGAUAGUGUAUUCAACUAGUUUCAGAUGAUUUCUAUUAAAAUGAUAAAUCCACUACUAUUCAAAUGAGGAUUUUAAAAACCACUUUAAAAUUUAGUAUUAUUGAACUUGUUAUUUUGUAAAAACAUUCUGAAAUCCAUUUUUAUUGAACAAAAUUUAAGUUUGAGAUUUUAGAAUGUUUUAGAUGUUUUAAGGAUGUUUGAGAGGAAUUUCUUAGUUAUAAAAAUUAAAUCUAAAUCUAUGAUUUUAGAUGAAAUUCUAGAGUUGUUUAACAAAAUUCACACCAAAUUAUAAUAUCUACCUAAAAUCAUGUAAAACUCACUAAAAUCAAAUCACUUUAAAGUUUAGAUUCAAUACACUCUCCUUAGGUCUGGACACUCUACUCAUUUGAUUUUGGAUCGAUUCUUUUGAAGCUUAGUUACAAUUAUUUUUUCGGAUUAGAAUUGGUUUAAUUUAACCCUAAUUUGAAUUGGUUGAGACCAUUUUUCAUACGAACAUUCAUCAAAUAUAAUUUACAUCAAUUAUUUUAUUCGAAAAUAACUAUAUAUAGUUUAACUUUAUAUAUUUAUAUUUUAAUUAUCUAACUGUAUUAAAACCCAUAUCAAAAUAAUUAAUAUAUUUAAAUUAAUAAUUGUAAAUUUUAUAUUUAAAAUAUUACAAGUAUUAUUAUAACUAAUGUAUGUUGGAUAUAUAUUUAUAUGUUUUUAAAUAUUUUUUUGGUAUUCAUUUUCAAUUUGGUUCGAGUUAGGUUUUAGUUCUUCAAGUAUAGGAAUUUAGUUCGUGCAUUGGUGCCUUCCAAUCGAGUUGGCUUUGGUUUGAUUCUUGGGUCCAACUAUUUUGCACAUGCCUAAGAUAAACUAUCAUUCAUGUUUAAGGUAGUUUUUCAUAAAGAUCCUUAAUUUGAUUAAUAGGGUUUGUAUGCAAAAUACAUAAAUGACCAUACCAUUACAUAAGCUUCAGCCGAUCGACUUAUUCUAACCCAUUAUAUGACAAAGUUUAGUUUCUAUCUUGUCUCGGACAUCACCAACGAAUGAGUUAAAAUUUGUGUCUGAAGAUCCAACGCUAGUAACCGCAUCUUUAAUAUGACAUUUAACCUUCUCAACGUUGCUUCUCAGCUCACUCGAAGUUUCUUGGUUCAUCAACCGUUUAAUAUUCACGGAGACUUCAUCCCUUGUGACCAUCUUCUUAUCACAAAGGUUAAUUCCAAUUUGCCAAUCAUCAACCACAAGUUUUCGGUUCGUGAACUGAUCGGUUAAAAGCGGAUAACACAACAAUGGUAAACCGCACCAAACGCUUUCUAGAAUCGAAUUCCAUCCACAGUGUGUCAAAAACCCUCCAAUAACCGGGUUUGAGAUUACUGCCUUCUGACAGCACCACUGGACCACAAUGCCUCGACCUUCGGCCUGGUCCAUAAACCGGGUUGGAAGAAAAUCCGGCACGUCAGAGCUGACUAUAUCUGGACGUAAAACCCAAAUAAAACUAAGCCCGCUAAGCAGAAGCCCAUGAGCUAUCUCCACGAUCUCUUUCUUACCAACAUGUGCAUAGCUACCAAACGAAACAUAGAGAACUGAUCCGGUGGGGCGGCCUUUGAGCCACUCUGUACAAUCUGACUCGGUCCACAGGCUUGUGGGGACAACCGAUUCGGUUGAGAAAACCGGGCCGAUGGCGUAAACCGGUUGGUUGGCUUGUAGAACCGAGAGAGAGUCUGGUUCGAGUUCUUGUAUGGUGUUGCAUAAAACGAAAUCUGCUUUCUUGACGUCUGUGAAGGCCUUGAAUAUUAUUCUAUAGACCACUGUGUUUGUGUCGACGUCUUUGUCGCUCACUUGAAGAUAUGACAUCAAGUCCUUUGGUUCUAUUGCAUUAACUCCUGGUAUGUAAUCGAUCACGUCUUCACGGUUAUCUAGCAUAUAGUUUAAAAAAUGUUCAAUAAAUCAUGUAACAAAAAACAUUUAAAACAUAAAAAAAGUUCUUCGAAAUUCGCUUCCACGAAAUAUUCAAAUCAUGAAAAGUCAUACACCAAAUUUUUGUGAAUUUUUAUGGAUUUAAUUUAAUAUACAGCUACGUAAAUAUAAUAUGUAACAAAAAUAUCAGUGGCAUGAUUAAUUAAUUAAGAGGGUUACCAAGAGACUUGAAAUGACCGUUAGAUAUGAGGAGAUGCAUGUGAUAAUAGAGAUUAAGGACCAAGGCAGGUUCGGUCCAAAACGAGACAUUAACAAGGUUGUGUUUCUCGCAAAUCAUAGAUGACCAAACGUAAAACGUGUCGUUGAUCAAGCAAGUCACCGGAGGAUCAUCACCCCGGCGGGAGAUUUUGGUGAUGAGAUCGUCAACGUGGGCAGGGAAGACGUGGAUAAUGCCUUCGAAGAAUUGGUCAUGGUUAAGCGACCGGUCAAACUCCAAAGGGAAGCCGUCGCUCACCGUGGUGUAACGUAUGUCAAGGUUCUCGGAGCUGCGAGCUUCGGAGAAGAUAUCUCCGGCGUCACCUUGGCGAGCGGUGGAGAUCUGGUGGUGGAUGGAGUCAGUGUUGACGAAAGUGAUGGUGAAGCCAUGUGAAGCUAGUUUGAUGGCUAAGUGGACAAAAGGGAUG